rnacentral:lncRNA from 1 species
GAACUGGAAUCCAAACCCUAGAAUUACCAUGUCGAAAUCAAUCAAAGCAAAAACAAGCAUGCAUAGGGAUAGAAUUUUACACUUUCAUCAAAAUAAAAAAGUGGCACGUUGGUGUUCUCCAAAAUACCCCAAGAUAGAAGUCCUCCAAUGGUGAUCCAUAUGGAAGAUGGCCAAGAUCCUUCCCAACCGAUGCACUACCGCAGUCUUGUCUUCUUAAGAACAUUGC